rnacentral:misc_RNA from 1 species
GAUGAAGAACGUAGCGAAAUGCGAUAAGUAAUGUGAAUUGCAGAAUUCAGUGAAUCAUCGAAUCUUUGAACGCACAUUGCGCCCUCUGGUAUUCCGGGGGGCAUGCCUGUUCGAGCGUCAUUAUAACCACUCAAGCUCUCGCUUGGUAUUGGGGUUCGCGGUUUCGCGGCCCCUAAAAUCAGUGGCGGUGCCUGUCGGCUCUACGCGUAGUAAUACUCCUCGCGAUUGAGUCCGGUAGGUCUACUUGCCAGCAACCCCUAAUUUUUUUAAGGUUGACCUCGGAUCAGGUAGGGAUACCCGCUGAACUUAAGCAUAUCAAUAAGCGGAGGA